AGGCAAUAGAGUUUAAACAAUAGCAGGCAUGGUGAAUGCAUAAGUAACAAGACUCGGAGGUGGUUCAGGUCGGAUUCAAGCUUGGGCCGACUAAUUGCAAAUAAUCUAGGCCAAUUUGAUUGGAUUCAGGUCGACUUAGAUUUGAAUCCAUACCAAAUUUGAAUCUUAAAUUUUAAAAUAUUUUUGGAUCUAAAUCCGGUUCAAAAAAAUAUAGAUAAAUUAUAAAACCCCCCUC
rnacentral:lncRNA from 1 species